rnacentral:misc_RNA from 1 species
ACAAACUUGGUCAUUUAGAGGAAGUACAAGUCGUAACAAGGUUUCCGUAGGUGAACCUGCGGAAGGAUCAUUACAGAGAAUUUAGUUACUACCUGCCGGUACCUAGCUGCAGUGGCACUAGCGACUAGUCCAUGCUGCAGCUAGAGUAUUGGUCAGUCAUUUGCUCUCCAGCCAAAGCUGGUCUGCACGCUUCGACUGUAUUAUUAUACAAUCUAUGCUGUACAGCUAUACAGCUAGUAAUAGUUGUACAUGUACAGCUAUACAGCUAGUAAUAGUUGGACAUGUACAGCUAUACAGCUAGUAAUAGUUGGACAUGUACAGCUAGUAAUAUAUUGAUCUUUACUUUUAACAAUGGAUCUCUAGGCUCUUGCAUCGAUGAAGAACGCAGC